rnacentral:rRNA from 1 species
AACGAACGCUGGCGGCAUGCCUAACACAUGCAAGUCGAACGAGACCUUCGGGUCUAGUGGCGCACGGGUGCGUAACACGGGGGAACCUGCCCUUAGGUUCGGAAUAACUCCCCGAAAGGGGUGCUAAUACCGGUUAAUGUAUUCGGACCAAAGAUUUAUCGCCUUUGGAUGGGCCCGCGUUGGUUUAGCGAGUUGGUAGGGUAAAAGCCUACCAAGGCGACGAUCCAUAGCUGGUCUGAGAGGAUGAUCAGCCACACUUGGACUGAGACACGGCCCAGACUCCUACGGGAGGGAGCAGUGGGGAAUAUUGGACGAUGGGCGAAAGCCUGAUCCAGCAAUGCCGCGUGAGUGAUGAAGGCCUUAGGGUUGUAAAGCUCUUUGACCCGGGAUGAUAAUGACAGUACCGGGUGAAUAAGCACCGGCUAACUCCGUG